rnacentral:rRNA from 1 species
CCUACGGGAGGCAGCAGUGGGGAAUUUUGGACAAUGGGCGCAAGCCUGAUCCAGCAAUGCCGCGUGCAGGAAGAAGGCCUUCGGGUUGUAAACUGCUUUUGUCAGGGAAGAAAUCCUCUAGGUUAAUACCCUUGGGGGAUGACGGUACCUGAAGAAUAAGCACCGGCUAACUACGUGCCAGCAGCCGCGGUAAUACGUAGGGUGCAAGCGUUAAUCGGAAUUACUGGGCGUAAAGCGUGCGCAGGCGGCUUUGCAAGACAGAUGUGAAAUCCCCGGGCUCAACCUGGGAACUGCAUUUGUGACUGCAAGGCUAGAGUACGGUAGAGGGGGAUGGAAUUCCGCGUGUAGCAGUGAAAUGCGUAGAUAUGCGGAGGAACACCAAUGGCGAAGGCAAUCCCCUGGACCUGUACUGACGCUCAUGCACGAAAGCGUGGGGAGCAAACAGGAUUAGAUACCCUGGUAGUCCACGCCCUAAACGAUGUCAACUGGUUGUUGGACGGCUUGCUGUUCAGUAACGAAGCUAACGCGUGAAGUUGACCGCCUGGGGAGUACGGCCGCAAGGUUGAAACUCAAAUGAAUUGACGG